UGUAAAUAAGCAUUCUUGUUUUAAUAGGAAUACGUUUCUGUUAAUCCAGAAGCUCCCAUCCUAUUACAUGCCAUGUAAUAUAUCCAUAUUAUAUUUUGACUGUAACAACCAUUUGGUUUCAUCGAGCAGUUAACAUGGCACAAUUCACAUCCGUCGUGCAGAAUUGCAAAACUGUAGAAAAAAAUAAUUGGUAACAUAAGCUAUUAGGCACCACAGAAAAGACAAUUCCAGCUUUUAGUUUAUACGUGCAUUGGAGUAAGGUAUCAUAUUGCUGAUUAUGCUGAAAAAAUAAAAAUGAUGGCCGUGUAAACACGGCGUGAUAGCUCAUACUUUUAAAUAUUGAAAUUUGUCAGCAUAAUCAGCACUAUGAUACCUUACUUCCCAUCACCCCCUGCAUACAUAAAUUAAAGCUGGAUUGCUCUACCCUCACCUGUGAUCAGGGGCCGGUUGUAUAAAAACGUAGUUAGUGCUAACUACUGUAGUUAAAUCCUUAACUGUAAUUACUUAACUGCAUGACUUAACUGCAUUGCGUAACAAAACGUAGUUAGUCGGAUAGUUAACGCUUGCGUGGGGUGGUUAACAUAAAUUAACAUAAAUUAAGGCUGAUGAACGACCGCUGACAAGGCAAUUUGAACUUGAUCGUGGUCUCGUUUAUUCCAAAAUGGCGAACAAAAUAAUUGCAAUUUGUAAAAGGAGCUAGGAGCUUGACCUGC